CGGCUAACUAGUGGCCAGGAGACGCGGGAAGACGUGGGGGGCUAGCGUUAUACGGAAGUACUGGGCGUAAAGUGUGCGUAGGUGGUUUCUUAAGUCAGAGGUGAAAGGCUACGGCUCAACCGUAGUAAGCCUUUGAAACUGGGAAACUUGAGUGCAGGAGAGGAGAGUGGAAUUCCUAGUGUAGCGGUGAAAUGCGUAGAUAUUAGGAGGAACACCAGUUGCGAAGGCGGCUCUCUGGACUGUAACUGACACUGAGGCACGAAAGCGUGGGGAGCAAACAGGAUUAGAUACCCGAGUAGUC
rnacentral:rRNA from 1 species